AGUGGGUUCAAUUUCCGGCUGCAUCCAACUUCGUUGUGAAAAUCCUAGCCCUUCAGGGUAGCUUACCCUGAUAUAACAGCCCUGACUUGGGUCUCCGUCUCCUCUCAUUUCUUCCAUCUUUGUCAUGGGGAUGGGAUACAUGGCCAGAGCUGCCCUCAGCAGUCAGUAACAGCCCUCAUCCUUAAAACGAAGACAAGUUUUGGAAAUGGUGGCUCCAGUGUCUGCAUAGAUGACGGAAGCCUACCUCCUUCCUCUACAUCCAGCAAGGCUAGCACCAGCUCCUUGCUGUUCCUAUCAUCUCAUCAUGCCUUCUUCAGUACCCAUACUUGCUGAAUUGAGUUCUAGGCCUUAGGCAAGACCAAAGAGGAAAAGGAAAUCAACUUCUUCCUAGUUGAUAAAGACUGGAGGAAAAGCAACUGUUAAAACUGUGUUCAUAUGACCACACAUAGGAACUGUCAAGGAAGAUACCAAAGGACGAACUCUUCUUAAGGUAAAAGACAACAUAAAGCUGGCGGUGCUCUUUGGGGAGGUUUCAAAAGUCUGAGAAGGUGGAGCUGAGCUAAGGAAGUUCGUCACUGGAGGCAGGUCUUGAGGGUUAGUUAUAGCCUGGACCUGCUUCCAGUUUCAUCUCUGCUUCCUGGCCUAAGCUAUGCAUCAACAAGCUGCAACAAGCUCCCGCUGCCAAGGAUGGAGUCCUCGCUACCAGGGAUGGAGCCCCCGCUUCCAAGGAUGGAGCCCCCGCUUCCAUGGAUGGAACCCCCGCUUCCGUGGAUGGAACCCCCACUGCCGUGGAUGGAGCCCCUGCUUUCAAGGAUGGAGCCCCCGCUGCCAAACCUUCCCUCCCAAGAUCAACCGUAUCUCCUCAAACUGUAAGCCAAACUAAACCUUUCCUCCCUUGAGUUGUUUCUGUUAGAUUUUCUCUCACAGUGAGGAGAAAAGUAAUAUGGAUGCUUAGCCCAUUUCUAAUAUUGUGUCACCGUCAUUUAUGAUUUAAACAUGGACUGGUUCUUUAGUAUUGGCAGAAAGUAGAAAGCUUGUAAUUUUUAGUCCCCAUCACAUAGGUAGGAGCUUAGGAAAAAUCCCACAUUCUCCUGGUGCUCUCUAACUAAGACCCGACAGGGAGAAAAGAUCUUCUGAGACUUUGCAGCUCUAUGGGUGCCUUCACAGAUACAUUUCAGACAGCUUCCAUAACUGUUCUUUGAGUCUAAAGCCCCAUGGUUGGUAACAACAGAGCUACUGCGAUGUUUCUAUUUAUAAAAGGUAAAUGUUCAAUUUUUCAAUUCCAAGAGACUUUCUUUGUGAGACCCAAUUAACCAAGAUCUGUUAGGCUAACAGAAAGUAAAUGACUCUUCAGAAGGCUGCGGACUUCAUCUAUGUAAAAUGUAAAUUUCCAGGAAAGUCUCCAUGGCACCUUGAGAGCUUAACCGAGGUAUCAUCUCAAAUUGUAAUCACUUGCUUAAAGAGGGGCUGAGAAGUUCUAUUAUUCCUUUGUGUUGAUUCGAUGAACUAAAACAACGACCUCAAUUUGCAAAUGAAUUUAGGAUGAGCUGAAAUGGGAAAAAAAAGGAGUGCUAUUCUCUUAUAAGAGAAACAAGAUACAAUAAAAUCUGAAAGACAUGUUUUGUACUGGUUCAGAACUGCUGUCUAAUGUGUGCCAAAUGUCCUACUUUAUAUUAGAUAAAAAUUAGAGGAGGCCAUUGUUUUGGAUUCUAAGCUCCUGCAUGAAGCCCUGACAGAACAUAAUAAAUAUCAAAAUAUUGUUACUUAUACUGAAGCAAGUUAUCUGACCUUCCAAAAAUGAGAGAUGAUAGUGCAGUUUCUCAAACAGGCCAGUUACAGUAGGCAUGAUAAUGAAGCUCUCCCUGUUCCCAAUGUUUCAUCCCCAAAGUAACCUGAAGUAACCUAAAGUUAACCAAUCAGUGUACUUUCUUUGGUUCUCUCUAUAUAUAUAUUGUCUGCCAAAGGACCUUGGAACAGCUAACCCAGUCUGUUAUUUAUGUAUGUUUCCUUCAGUUUCUGUUUACCAACCUUCUACUAACUUCAUUGAAGCAUUUAUUUGCUUCAUGAAACGAAGCAUUGCCUGAUUCAAGAACCACAAACCCACUCCAAAACCUUUAAGAUAAAUUUGCUGUAUUCUGCCAUUUGACAGCAGUCUCAUUCAGAUUGCCUAUGCACAAAUAACUUGAGUAUGCUUAAUAAAUAAUCAAACACAAUAAUUUUCUAGGCUUUAAGAGAAUAUUCUGUGCCAGAAUUUUUAUCUCUUGAAUAGGUUGGAUACCUAUAGAUAUGGAACAGAAUAAAUAAUGUUAGAAAUCAAAAGUCCAGGCAAUGUAUAAUAAUAUCUGCUUGUCAAGACUUGGAAGCAACUUGAAACAUGAAUUCAUAUGCAAGCCAAAUCCCAGGUAAAACACAAAAUUAGAAACCAUGAAGGAAAAAGACAGAAUUGUAAGGUAUGUGGAAUGGAGCAAAUUUGGCAACAAGCACCCAGAGACAUGGCAAGGGUGUUCAGGGGAGAAUAAACACUGCAAUGAGGAAGAGAGGGUAGCCAGAUAUUCAAAUAUAGUCUGCAUUUCUUCCUGGGUCAAAUGGGCAAGGCAAAGCAAAACCAGAGAAUUGGUCUCUUCAUUGAGAGAACAAUAUGUACAAAGUUGUCCUGGCCAGAGGAUUCAUGGAUCUUCUCUGGCUAGCCAUAAGGCUGGCUAAAAGCACUAGAAAGAACAUAAGGGAAAGAGGUAACAUCUAUCAACAAAAUGACAGUAUUUGUAACCUGUUAAAACUAACUCCAACUUUACAUUCUGGAAAUCUUAGCAUGAGUAAUUUCACCAAGCAACAUCUGCCACAAUCUGAAGUGAAUUCUAGCUUACUUAAUUCUACUUUAAAAACCAACAUAAGCAGAGAUCUGAUUAAAAUAUGCUAACUGUAUAUAGUGAAAAAAUGAUGUAGCUACUUUUAAAGGAUAAAUUCAAUUUUUACACAUAAAAUAUCUAUGGUAUAUAAUUUUUAAAUUUAACUAGAAUAUACAGGUAAGCCCACAUCAUAUUUGUAAAUGACCUAUGUGUGUUUGAUGAUUUUCUUAUACCAAUUAUUCAAUAAUUUCAAUUUCUUCUUUCUAUAGAUGCAGAAAAUUCACCAAAGAUCUAGCUGUUAUAUUGCUCACGCCUGAAUGUUCUAAAAUUUCUACUUUGUUGUCCUUUAAAUAACAAACAAUAACACUAAAAAUAAAAAAAGAGCUAAUUCAUGUUGCCCAUUUCCCUCAGGUGUAAGCAAGUGAUUCUCAAAUCUCACACUGCAUUAGAACUAUCCAGGUACUUUAAGAGCUAUAGAGAUUUUCUUUUAAUAAUUCAUGGUAGGUAUGAACACAAAAAUAUUGUACAAAUAUUCCAAGUGAGUCUAGUAUGCACACAAAAGUGGUACUCCACCAAGAACACAGACUAAAAACCAGACUGCUUGAACUUGAGUCUUGGCUCUGUCAUUUACUCUUCAUAUAGGCAAAAUAGUUAAGACUCACGGCUCACCUGAA
rnacentral:lncRNA from 1 species